rnacentral:rRNA from 1 species
UACGGAGGGUGCAAGCGUUAUCCGGAUUCACUGGGUUUAAAGGGUGCGUAGGUGGGCUGGUAAGUCAGUGGUGAAAUCUCCAGGCUUAACUUGGAAACUGCCAUUGAUACUAUCAGUCUUGAAUACCGUGGAGGUCGGCGGAAUAUGUCAUGUAGCGGUGAAAUGCUUAGAUAUGACAUAGAACACCAAUUGCGAAGGCAGCUGGCUACACGAAUAUUGACACUGAUGCACGAAAGCGUGGGGAUCAAACAGG